rnacentral:misc_RNA from 1 species
GGAUUUGUUUCUGAUGUUGAUAUGAGGGACAAGCUUACAACAUUUAUUCUCAAGAGCCCACCUGAGCCGAAAAAGGGCUCCAAAGACAAGAAGGCAAUGAGGAGGGCCGAGAAGGAACGGCUUAAGGAGGGUGAGGUUGCUGAUGAGGAGCAGAAGAAGCACAAAAAGGAGACAACAAAGAAGAAAGGCUCUUCUGGUAGUUCUAAGGAUGCUCCUAAAGGCAUAUCAACGAGGAAAAAAGGCAAUGUCUCUGAUGAGGAUCACUCGCCAGCUCGCAGCCAAGCUGAUGAAAAUGAACAAGUGAUUGCUAAUGAUGAUGAUGAUGAUGAUGACGACGACAAUGUCCAGUGGCAAACAAAUACUUCUUUGGAGGCAGCUAAACAACGC